UACGGAGGGAGCUAGCGUUGUUCGGAAUUACUGGGCGUAAAGCGCACGUAGGCGGCUUUGUAAGUUAGAGGUGAAAGCCUGGGGCUCAACCCCAGAAUUGCCUUUAAGACUGCAUCGCUUGAAUCCGGGAGAGGUGAGUGGAAUUCCGAGUGUAGAGGUGAAAUUCGUAGAUAUUCGGAAGAACACCAGUGGCGAAGGCGGCUCACUGGACCGGUAUUGACGCU
rnacentral:rRNA from 1 species